CUCGAACCCGGUAGUUAAGCCCACCCGCGCCGAUGGUACUGGGGGGGCUGCCCCCUGGGAGACUAGGUCGUCGCCAACC
rnacentral:rRNA from 1 species